rnacentral:rRNA from 1 species
GCGGAUUUUGAAAUUCUUAGUGGCGGACGGGUGAGUAACGCGUGGGCAACCUGCCCUGUACAGGGGGACAACAGCUGGAAACGGCUGCUAAUACCGCAUAAGCGCACAGCAUCGCAUGAUGCCGUGUGAAAAACUCCGGUGGUACAGGAUGGGCCCGCGUUGGAUUAGGCAGUUGGUGAGGUAACGGCCCACCAAGCCGACGAUCCAUAGCCGACCUGAGAGGGUGACCGGCCACAUUGGGACUGAGACACGGCCCAAACUCCUACGGGAGGCAGCAGUGGGGAAUAUUGCACAAUGGGGGAAACCCUGAUGCAGCGACGCCGCGUGAGCGAAGAAGUAUUUCGGUAUGUAAAGCUCUAUCAGCAGGGAAGAAAAUGACGGUACCUGACUAAGAAGCCCCGGCUAACUACGUGCCAGCAGCCGCGGUGAUACGUAGGGGGCAAGCGUUAUCCGGAUUUACUGGGUGUAAAGGGAGCGUAGACGGCUUUGCAAGUCUGAUGUGAAA